AGCCCAGAACUGAAGGGGCCAUGCAAAGAAGUUGAGGCUUGACACCAUAAAGGGAGCCUAUGAGAGGCUAUUGGUGAAGCCUGGUUGCACAGAAGACUCCAGUGUAUUGGAGAUGCCAGUACCAUAGUAUGGUCACUCAGAAUAGCAGAGGCAGUGGAGGGGAGUCAGCCUGACCUUCGAGAGCUACAGGAGACAGAGCUGGAGAUGAGCUUCAAGCCCUUUGGAGAAGCACAGAAAAUCAUGUAUGGAUCCCAGACAUUGGAACAAGAAACUGUGAAGUUGAUGUUGCCCUGGAGAACCCAAGAAGUCCAAGAUGCAGAACCAUAGGAUACCUGCUGAGGAAAGCUGCUAACAGGGAGUGGAACCAGCCAAAGAGAAAGAAUUGUGUUAUAGUCAACAAAGCAGGAAGAAGUUAGAUGUCUGAUAUGGAGUUGCAGAGUUUUGUCCAGAUGACUUUUGGCCUUGCUUUUGUCCAGGAUUUCCUCACUAGGACAUUUUGGAGUGGUAAAGUACAGCCUGUGAUGUUGGAGGUAUAUGAUAAUGCUUUUUGAUUGUGACUUUACAGCUAAGUGAUUGGAUGAAUCUCAGAAGAGACUCUGAACAUUAGGCAUUUAAACCUUCUUGAGACUGUGAGAGACUAUGGGGACUUUUGCAGUUGAACU
rnacentral:lncRNA from 1 species